rnacentral:lncRNA from 1 species
AUUUUGGGCUGGCUCAUUCUUUGCUUCGGGGGCUGUCCUGUGUGUUGUCUGAUGGUUAGCAACAUCCCUGGCCUCCAUUCACAGAUGCCAGGGGCAACACCACACCUGGUUGUAACCAAAACUUUCUCCAGACAUUGUCAAAUAUCCUCUGGGGAAAAAAAAAUCACCCUCGGUUGAGAACCGUCGUCAACUCCUACUAGGAACCACUGAGACAGGUUCUGGUUCUGUCACCUAAGCCUCCUGAGUAGCUGACAUUACAGAGAUGGGAGUCUCACUAUAUUGCCCAGGCUCAUCUCAAACUCCUGGCCUCAAGCAUUCCUUCCACCUCAGCCUCCCAAACGGCUAGGAUUACAGGUGUGAGCCACCACACCCAGCCCUCCCUCAUACAUUCAAAUGGCCAACUCCCUUGGCUUCCUCAAGUCUUUGCUUAAAUGCCAUCUUCUCAGGAAGUCAUUUUCUGAACACUCUAUUAAAAAUUGCAACCUGCCCCCAAACACGUCUUGCACUCACUGUCCGUGUCUCUGCUUAAAUUUUCUCCGUAGCACUCAUACCAUCUAACAUACUGUGCAUUUACUUGUUUAUUUUUAUUUUUUUGAGACAGGGUCUCACUCUGUUGCCCAGGCUGGAGUGCAGUAGUGUGAUCAUGGUUCAUUGUAACCUCUGUCUCCUGGACUCAAGCAAUCCUCUCACCUUAGCCUCCCAAG